UUCAGGCAAAAGAAACAUUUUUCAAAAUUAUUUUUUCAAUAUAAAACUGUCUGGUGAAUUUUUGGUUAAAACCUGUUCGUUCAUCAUUCAGUAGAAAAUCUACACGUUUUCAGUAGAAAUACUUCAAGAUAAAAUUACUCAAGAAAAAUUUUUUUUUCUCCAAAAAAUUACUCAAAUAAAUACAGUUGUCUAACUUUGUGUGUACCAAUAUAUAGAAGUGGUCUCCAACCUUUUUAUCACCGCGGACCGCUCAAGGCUUGGCAGUUUUACUGCGGCCCGGGUGGGGGGUGAACCGUCAGACAGGCUUCUGCGUGUGUCCGCUAAGGCCUAGUUCACAUGGCACAAUUUUAAAAAAUUUUGCCCCGAUUUUCCGUUUUCGACAAUCUUAGAACGUUCCGAGUUCUCAGAACGUUGAGUUCUAAGAUUGUCGCUUGCGAUAAUCGUAACCGAUCAUCCUACGCCUAACAUCGGGCACAUUCAACACGUUGGAUUGUCUUGGGCCUUUUAUCGCAACCUGUGGGGUUUUCCCUGUCUGGGAGUGAGAACGCAACCUGUUGACAGUAGCCAAUCAGAAAGCGCGGUGACGUAAGCACGGAGAGAAUCCCAAACAACUGACGUGGCGCAACCGAAUCCAAUGACACUGGAGAUGAUAUAGCAGGAAUGUUUAUCAUCAGCAUUUGCA